rnacentral:rRNA from 1 species
UACGUAGGUGGCAAGCGUUGUCCGGAUUUACUGGGCGUAAAGAGCGCGCAGGCGGUCGUUCAAGUCGAGUGUGAAAGCCCCCGGCUCAACUGGGGAGGGUCACUCGAUACUGAUCGACUCGAAGGCAGAAGAGGGAAGCGGAAUUCCCGGUGUAGUGGUGAAAUGCGUAGAUAUCGGGAGGAACACCAGUGGCGAAGGCGGCUGUCUGGUCUGCUCUUGACGCUGAGGCGCGAAAGCUAGGGUAGCAAACGGG